rnacentral:rRNA from 1 species
UACGAAGGGGGCUAGCGUUGCUCGGAAUCACUGGGCGUAAAGCGCACGUAGGCGGCUUUUUAAGUCAGGGGUGAAAUCCUGGAGCUCAACUCCAGAACUGCCUUUGAUACUGAGAAGCUUGAGUCCGGGAGAGGUGUGUGGAACUGCGAGUGUAGAGGUGAAAUUCGUAGAUAUUCGCAAGAACACCAGUGGCGAAGGCGGCUGACUGGUCCGGAUCUGACGCUGAGGCGCGAAAGCGUGGGGAGCAAACAGG